rnacentral:tRNA from 1 species
GCGUGUAAGUGUAAAGAGCACAGAAAGUUUUGAUCUUUUUAGGGCUAGUGCGAGCCUAGUGUAUGCAGG